UGGGGAAUCUUGGACAAUGGGCGCAAGCCUGAUCCAGCCAUGCCGCGUGAGUGAAGAAGGCCUUCGGGUUGUAAAGCUCUUUUACCAGGGACGAUAAUGACGGUACCUGGAGAAUAAGCCCCGGCAAACUUCGUGCCAGCAGCCGCGGUAAUACGAAGGGGGCUAGCGUUGUUCGGAAUUACUGGGCGUAAAGCGCACGUAGGCGGAUUGUUAAGUCAGAGGUGAAAUCCCGGAGAUCAACUUCGGAACUGCCUUUGAUACUGGCAAUCUAGAGUCCGGAAGAGGUUAGUGGAAUUCCCAGUGUAGAGGUGAAAUUCGUAGAUAUUGGGAAGAACACCAGUGGCGAAGGCGGCUAACUGGUCCGGUACUGACGCUGAGGUGCGAAAGCGUGGGGAGCAAACAGGAUUAGAUACCCCAGUAGUCCCUGAGCGGGCUGGCAAGGCGCAU
rnacentral:rRNA from 1 species